rnacentral:snoRNA from 1 species
UAAUGGCUGUUCCUCUCACUGCUUGGAGCCUUAGGUAAUAGGAUUUUAGUCCAUCAUCUAUCUAAGCUGACUUGUCUUCACUCAGGGCACCAUGGGGAUGGGUUGCUGUCCCUGUUAGUGCCUCUGAUUUUAUAGAGUCAAACAACU